rnacentral:rRNA from 1 species
CCUACGGGUGGCAGCAGUGGGGAAUAUUGCACAAUGGGGGAAACCCUGAUGCAGCGACGCCGCGUGAGUGAAGAAGUAUUUCGGUAUGUAAAGCUCUAUCAGCAGGGAAGAAAAUGACGGUACCUGACUAAGAAGCCCCGUCUAACUACGUGCCAGCAGCCGCGGUAAUACGUAGGGGGCAAGCGUUAUCCGGAUUUACCGGGUGUUAAGGGAGCGUAGGUGGCAUGGUAAGCCAGGAGUGAAAACCCUGGGGUCAACCCCGCGGAUUGCUUUUGAAACUAUCAGGCUGGAGUGCUGGAGGGGUAAGCGGAAUUCCUAGUGUAGCGGUGAAAUGCGUAGAUAUUAGGAGGAACACCGGUGGCGAAGGCGGCUUACUGGACAGAAACUGACACUGAGGCUCGAAAGCGUGGGGAGCAAACAGGAUUAGAUACCCCUGUAGUC